UACGUAGGUGGCGAGCGUUGUCCGGAAUUACUGGGUGUAAAGCGCGUGUAGGCGGGAGGCCAAGUCUGCGGUGAAAUCGCUCGGCUCAACUGGGCGGGGUCCGUGGAAACUGGUCACCUGGAGGACGGUAGAGGCGAGUGGAAUUCCCGGUGUAGUGGUGAAAUGCGUAGAUAUUAGGAAGAACACCAGUGGCGAAGGCGGCUCACUGGUCCGGUACUGACGCUGAGGUGCGAAAGCGUGGGGAGCAAACAGG
rnacentral:rRNA from 1 species